rnacentral:rRNA from 1 species
UAGGGAAUCUUCGGCAAUGGACGAAAGUCUGACCGAGCAACGCCGCGUGAGUGAAGAAGGUUUUCGGAUCGUAAAACUCUGUUGUUAGAGAAGAACAAGGACGUUAGUAACUGAACGUCCCCUGACGGUAUCUAACCAGAAAGCCACGGCUAACUACGUGCCAGCAGCCGCGGUAAUACGUAGGUGGCAAGCGUUGUCCGGAUUGAUUGGGCGUAAAGCGAGCGCAGGCGGUUUCUUAAGCCUGAUGUGAAAGCCCCCGGCUCAACCGGGUAGGGUCAUUGGAAACUGGGAGACUUGAGUGCAGAAGAGGAGAGUGGAAUUCCAUGUGUAGCGGUGAAAUGCGUAGAUAUAUGGAGGAACACCAGUGACGAAGGCGGCUCUCUAGUCUGUAACUGACGCUGAGGCUCGAAAGCGUGGGGAGCAAACAGG